rnacentral:misc_RNA from 1 species
UGCGUGCUUUCUACUUCUCUUCAUGCUACCUUUUCCUUCCCUUCCCCUCCCUUCCAUAUAUAAAUUUUAGGGUUCUUUCAAUUUUAAUUUAUUGGGUUGUCUUCUUCUCUAUAUUUCGCUCUUUCGAGACUUAAAGUUUUCGUUUUCUCCAAUGGGCCUCUGGGAUUCCCUUCUCAACUGGCUCUGGAGUUUUUUUCGUUAAACAGGAAAUGGAGCUAGCCCUUGUAGGCCUUCAGAAUGCAGGAAAGACAGCUGUUGUUAAUGCAAUUGUUGCAGGAGGG